rnacentral:tRNA from 1 species
GCCUGGUUGGCUCAGUCGGUAGAGCAUGAGACUCUUAAUCUCAGGGUCAUGGGUUCUAGCCCCAUGUUUGGCA